AUGUCUUCACUGCAGUUGUGCUCUUCGUAUUUUGAGAAUGUGAUGGAAGUGCCACAGGAUCCUUAUGGCUCUCCUAAGCACUGUGAAGACAGGUUAUCUAGGUGCUGCCCACAAAGAUGUUCUGCCUCUGGAGCUGAGCCAUUCACAGGAUUAAAUCUGUCUUUGCAAAUGCCUGUGCCUAAAACACCCUGGUGAAAAAAGACUCUUUUCCAAGCAAGAUGUGAUAGCUCAAAUAAACCAGCCAACCUCCCUCUGCUGGGGGACAGUGUCUGAACGGAGUGCUACCCAACAUUCAUCACGUUAUGUAACACUUCGGAAACACUUCAAGAUAGUUUUUGGAAUUGGUGAAAAACCUGUUGCUCAAGGGAAGAAUAUUGAAGCCUAGGCUGGAAGCUGCAGGCCUCACAAGUCUGUCUGGGCUCCUGGAUAUGCAAAUGGGAGCUAGGGAUCUCCAGGUCCCCACUUCAGCACAUUGGAGCUACAUGGGAGCUGCAGACCCCCAGUGCAUGGUGGCUUUUUGCCAGCCCUACUAGCAACCAGGCACAGAUCCAGGGGAAUUUAGCCUGUAUUUCAGUGGGCAUUUAUUCAUUUUGAUGAAACAAUGUUUGUUUGUUUUCAGUUAAUCAGUGCUUUCUGAUGAAGAAAACAUUUUGUCAGAGAAUUCCCAGCAAACUCUACCCAUGAGUCAGCAGUGAUGCCUAGAAUCAGCCCCAGUGUCCUCUCCCAACCUGGCACACAAAGCUCUUUACCAGUCUUUACCUCUGCGUAAGUCCCUGAGGCACAGUGACCCUUCUGCAGCUUGGUGGGACAACAGAGCAGCCUCAUAGAGUGCCUCUCCUCAUGGAGAGGAGACAUGCUUUGAACUGGGGCUGUGGUUUUGUUUCUCUAUCUUAUUAACUUCUUCAGCAUUUAUAACAAAGCUCUAAAAAAUUAUUUUGUUUUCCACUUCAGCUUCACUUCAGCUUGGUCUUCACCUUCAGCUUGGUUUUCAGUCCAAGAAGCACACUGGCAUGGCCAAGCUACUCUUCUGGGGUAAUGGCUUCAGGUUGCACCAGAGGACAUUCAGGCUGGAUAUUAGGAACUUUUUUUUCUCCAGAAAGAGUGGCGAUGCACUGGCACUGCUGCCCAAGGGGUUGUGGAGUCACUGUCCCUGGAGGUGUUCAAGAACUGUGCAGAUAUGGCACUGAUGGAUGUGGUCAGUGGGCAUGGUGGGGGUAGGUUGAUCGUUGGACUCAAUGGUCUUAGUGGUCUUUUCCAACCUUAAUGAUUCCUUGCUUGUGAUUCUGAUUCUCUGAGCUGGUUGGAGAGCUCGAAAGUGUUGGCAGCUGCCACCAUUCUGUCACAAGAUUCUAAAAUCUACUGGUAUUCAUACACUCCCAAUAACCAGAUCCAUGUGACAAAUAAACAUUUUCAUUUCAGCUUUUUGUUUCAGCUCCAGGAAGACUUGAGAGCAGCUAUACAAUAGCUAAAGAGGAGCUAUAAGAAGGAAGGGGACAGACUCUUUAGCAGGGCCUGUUGUGACAGGGCAAGGGGAAAGGGUUUUAAACUAAAAGAGGAAAAGUUUAGAUUGGCUGUAAGAAAGAAGUUUUUUACAAUAAGGGCAGUGAGGCACUGGCACAGGCUGCACAGAAAGCCGGUGGUGCCCCAUCCCUGGAAACAGCCAAGGUCAGGCUGGAUGGGCUCCGAGUACCUGAUGGAGCUGUGGGUGUCCCUGUUCAUUGCAGGGGGGUUGGAGCAGAUGGCUUUUAAGGGACCCUUCUAACACAAAUUAUUCUAUGGGCCUAUGAACAAAAGGAGAUGUUA
rnacentral:lncRNA from 1 species